rnacentral:rRNA from 1 species
GCAUGGAGAGCCCAUUAAAGAGAGCAAUUUUGGUUACAGACGAGCAUGCGCUCCAUUAGCCAGUUGGCGGGGUAACGGCCCACCAAGGCGACGAUGGAUAGGGGCUCUGAGAGGAAGGUCCCCCACAUUGGAACUGAGACACGGUCCAAACUCCUACGGGAGGCAGCAGUGAGGAAUAUUGGUCAAUGGUCGGCAGACUGAACCAGCCAAGUCGCGUGAGGGAAGACGGCCCUACGGGUUGUAAACCUCUUUUGUCGGAGAGUAAAGUACGCUACGCGUAGCGUAUUGCAAGUAUCCGAAGAAAAAGCAUCGGCUAACUCCGUGCCAGCAGCCGCGGUAAUACGGAGGAUGCGAGCGUUAUCCGGAUUUAUUGGGUUUAAAGGGUGCGUAGGCGGCACGCCAAGUCAGCGGUGAAAUUUCCGGGCUCAACCCGGAGUGUGCCGUUGAAACUGGCGAGCUAGAGUGCACAAGAGGCAGGCGGAAUGCGUGGUGUAGCGGUGAAAUGCAUAGAUAUCACGCAGAACCCCGAUUGCGAAGGCAGCCUGCUAGGGUGCGACAGACGCUGAGGCACGAAAGCGUGGGUAUCGAACAGGAUUAGAUACCCUGGUAGUCCACGCAGUAAACGAUGAAUACUAACUGUUUGCGAUACAAUGUAAGCGGUA